AUGGCACCCCAGCCGGAGGAGGCGCCCAAGCCUUCGCCGGAGGAGUCUCGCGAGUGGACGCUGCGGUUCAUCCAGGCCCUCGGAGUGGACGCGUCCCUCCCGGCCUCGGCGGAGCGUCCCGACGCCCACUCCGCCCUCGUCCGCGCGCUCCUGUCCUCCGUCACCGUCUCCUCCUCCCCCCGGCCGCGCGUCUCCUGCACCCUCACCGUCUCAUCCGCCGCAACUAACGCCUACAACACGCUCCACGGCGGCGCGGUGGCGGCCGUCGCGGAGGCCGUCGGGAUGGCGUGCGCGCGCGCUGCGGCGGGGGAUAAGGAGAUGUUCCUCGGCGAGCUCAGCACAGCGUAUCUCUCAGCCGCCCGCCUCGAUUCUGAAGUGGAAGUAGAAGCGCAGAUACUGAGGAAGGGCAGAUCUGUUGUGGUUACUACAGUUGAGUUUCGGCUCAAGGACAGCAAGAAGCUCUGCUACACAUCUCGAGCCACCUUCUAUAUCAUGCCGGUGGCAAGCCUGUAA
rnacentral:rRNA from 1 species